CAUGCAAGUCGAACGAAGCACUUUAUUUGAUUUCCUUCGGGACUGAUUAUUUUGUGACUGAGUGGCGGACGGGUGAGUAACGCGUGGGUAACCUGCCUUGUACAGGGGGAUAACAGUUGGAAACGGCUGCUAAUACCGCAUAAGCGCACGGCAUCGCAUGAUGCAGUGUGAAAAACUCCGGUGGUAUAAGAUGGACCCGCGUUGGAUUAGCUAGUUGGUGAGGUAACGGCCCACCAAGGCGACGAUCCAUAGCCGACCUGAGAGGGUGACCGGCCACAUUGGGACUGAGACACGGCCCAAACUCCUACGGGAGGCAGCAGUGGGGAAUAUUGCACAAUGGGCGAAAGCCUGAUGCAGCGACGCCGCGUGAGCGAAGAAGUAUUUCGGUAUGUAAAGCUCUAUCAGCAGGGAAGAUAAUGACGGUACCUGACUAAGAAGCACCGGCUAAAUACGUGCCAGCAGCCGCGGUAAUACGUAUGGUGCAAGCGUUAUCCGGAUUUACUGGGUGUAAAGGGAGCGCAGGCGGUGCGGCAAGUCUGAUGUGAAAGCCCGGGGCUCAACCCCGGUACUGCAUUGGAAACUGUCGUACUAGAGUGUCGGAGGGGUAAGCGGAAUUCCUAGUGUAGCGGUGAAAUGCGUAGAUAUUAGGAGG
rnacentral:rRNA from 1 species